rnacentral:rRNA from 1 species
UACGUAGGGUGCAAGCGUUGUCCGGAAUUAUUGGGCGUAAAGAGCUCGUAGGCGGUCUGUCGCGUCUGCUGUGAAACUCAGGGCUUAACCCUGAGCUUGCAGUGGGUACGGGCAGACUAGAGUGCGGUAGGGGAGACUGGAAUUCCUGGUGUAGACGGUGAAAUGCGCAGAUAUCAGGAGGAACACCGGUGGCGGAAGGCGGGUCUCUGGGCCGUAACUGACGCUGGAGGAAGCGAAAGCAUGGGGAGCGAACAGG